rnacentral:misc_RNA from 1 species
AAGUCGUAACAAGGUUUCCGUAGGUGAACCUGCGGAAGGAUCAUUAACACUAUAUGUGAGUCUCGCACUCAUCAUAUAUUAUCAACAAACUCGUGCUCCCUUUUUUUCCCACACCAUAAACCCUUUUAACUGUUUUUUACAGUUAAUAGUAUUAUAUUUCUUAAUACACUUGUUUGACCUACAGUCGACAUAUACAUACGUGUAUGUAAAUUGUUUGUCAAGAUAUACGUGAAUGUCAUGUAAAGUGGUUAAUUCUACUUUCAUGGUUACGCACACAAGUGUUAGCAAUGGAUAUCUAGGCUCUC